CAUGUACUCCCUCCGUCCGAAAAAGCUUGUCCCUCAAAUGAAUGUAUCUAGCACCAAAUUACUGCUAGAUACAUCCAUUUAAGGUACAAAUUUGGGACAAGUUUUUUUGGAAAGAGGGAGUACAAU
rfam:Triticum aestivum genome assembly, contig: Triticum_aestivum_CS42_TGACv1_scaffold_605144_7DL